UGGGGAAUAUUGCACAAUGGGCGCAAGCCUGAUGCAGUCAUGCCGCGUGUAUGAAGAAGGCCUUCGGGUUGUAAAGUACUUUCAGCGGGGAGGAAGGCGAUGCGGUUAAUAACCGCGUCGAUUGACGUUACCCGCAGAAGAAGCACCGGCUAACUCCGUGCCAGCAGCCGCGGUAAUACGGAGGGUGCAAGCGUUAAUCGGAAUUACUGGGCGUAAAGCGCACGCAGGCGGUCUGUCAAGUCGGAUGUGAAAUCCCCGGGCUCAACCUGGGAACUGCAUCCGAAACUGGCAGGCUUGAGUCUCGUAGAGGGGGGUAGAAUUCCAGGUGUAGCGGUGAAAUGCGUAGAGAUCUGGAGGAAUACCGGUGGCGAAGGCGGCCCCCUGGACGAAGACUGACGCUCAGGUGCGAAAGCGUGGGGAGCAAACA
rnacentral:rRNA from 1 species